AUGCACGCUGGCGGCGUGCCUAAUACCUGCAAGUCGCGCGAACAGACGAGGAGCUUGCUCCUCUGACGUUAGCGGCGGACGGGUGAGUAACACGUGGAUAACCUACCUAUAAGACUGGGAUAACUUCGGGAAACCGGAGCUAAUACCGGAUAAUAUAUUGAACCGCCUGGUUCAUUAGUGAAAGACGGUUUUGCUGUCACUUAUAGAUGGAUCCGCGCCGCAUUAGCUAGUUGGUAAGGUAACGGCUUACCAAGGCAACGAUGCGUAGCCGACCUGAGAGGGUGAUCGGCCACACUGGAACUGAGACACGGUCCAGACUCCUACGGGAGGCAGCAGUAGGGAAUCUUCCGCAAUGGGCGAAAGCCUGACGGAGCAACGCCGCGUGAGUGAUGAAGGUCUUCGGAUCGUAAAACUCUGUUAUUAGGGAAGAACAAAUGUGUAAGUAACUAUGCACGUCUUGACGGUACCUAAUCAGAAAGCCACGGCUAACUACGUG
rnacentral:rRNA from 1 species